rnacentral:rRNA from 1 species
GACGAACGCUGGCGGCGUGCUUAACACAUGCAAGUCGAACGGAAAGGCCCUGCUUUUGUGGGGUGCUCGAGUGGCGAACGGGUGAGUAACACGUGAGUAACCUUCCCUUGACUUUGGGAUAACUUCAGGAAACUGGGGCUAAUACCGGAUAGGAGCUCCUGCUGCAUGGUGGUGGUUGGAAAGUUUCGGCGGUUGGGGUUGGACUCGCGGCUUAUCAGCUUGUUGGUGGGGUAGUGGCUUACCAAGGCUUUGACGGGUAGCCGGCCUGGGGGGGUGACCGGCCACAUUGGGACUGAGAUACGGCCCAGACUCCUACGGGAGGCAGCAGUGGGGAAUAUUGCAAAAUGGGCGGAAGCCUGAUGCAGCAACGCCGCGUGCGGGAUGACGGCCUUCGGGUUGUAAACCGCUUUCGCCUGUGACGAAGCGUGAGUGACGGUAAUGGGUAAAGAAGCACCGGCUAACUACGUG